GGAUCAAUGAUGAAUUCUAGAUAUGCAUUCCUUAGAAAGCUGAACAAAAUGAGUGAACAACUCUAUACCAUCUUCCUCGUCAGAGUGAGGUCC